rnacentral:rRNA from 1 species
AUGAACGCUGGCGGUAUGCCUAACACAUGCAAGUCGAACGGGACUCUUCGGAGUCUAGUGGCGGACGGGUGAGUAACGCGUGAGAAUCUGCCUAGAGGAUGGGGACAACCACGGGAAACGGUGGCUAAUACCCAAUGAGCGGAGACGUCAAAGAUUUAUCGCCUCUAGAGGAGCUCGCGUCUGAUUAGCUAGUUGGUGGGGUAAAAGCCUACCAAGGCGACGAUCAGUAGCUGGUCUGAGAGGACAACCAGCCACACUGGGACUGAGACACGGCCCAGACUCCUACGGGAGGCAGCAGUGGGGAAUUUUCCGCAAUGGGCGAAAGCCUGACGGAGCAAUACCGCGUGAGGGAGGAAGGCUCUUGGGUCGUAAACCUCUUUUCCCAGGGAAGAAGAAAGUGACGGUACCUGAGGAAUCAGCCUCGGCUAACUCCGUGCCAGCAGCCGCGGUAAUACGGAGGAGGCAAGCGUUAUCCGGAAUUAUUGGGCGUAAAGCGUCCGUAGGUGGCUCUUCAAGUCUGCUGUCAAAGAGUGGGGCUUAACCCUGCAAAGGCAGUGGAAACUGAAAGGCUAGAGAGCCGUAGGGGUAGAGGGAAUUCCCGGUGUAGCGGUGAAAUGCGUAGAGAUCGGGAAGAACAUCGGUGGCGAAAGCGCUCUACUGGACGGUAUCUGACACUGAGGGACGAAAGCUAGGGGAGCGAAUGGGAUUAGAUACCCCAGUAGUCCUAGCCGUAAACGAUGGAUACUAGGCGUGGCUUGUAUCGACCCGAGCCGUGCCGGAGCUAACGCGUUAAGUAUCCCGCCUGGGGAGUACGCACGCAAGUGUGAAACUCAAAGGAAUUGACGGGGGCCCGCACAAGCGGUGGAGUAUGUGGUUUAAUUCGAUGCAACGCGAAGAACCUUACCAGGGCUUGACAUGUCCGGAAUCCCUUGGAAACGAGGGAGUGCCUUCGGGAACCGGAACACAGGUGGUGCAUGGCUGUCGUCAGCUCGUGUCGUGAGAUGUUGGGUUAAGUCCCGCAACGAGCGCAACCCUCGUCUUUAGUUGCCAGCAUUAAGUUGGGCACUCUAGAGAGACUGCCGGUGACAAACCGGAGGAAGGUGGGGAUGACGUCAAGUCAGCAUGCCCCUUACGUCCUGGGCGACACACGUACUACAAUGCUACGGACAAAGGGCAGCAAGCCAGCGAUGGCAAGCCAAUCCCAUAAACCGUGGCUCAGUUCAGAUCGCAGGCUGCAACUCGCCAGCGUGAAGGAGGAAUCGCUAGUAAUCGCCGGUCAGCAUACGGCGGUGAAUCCGUUCCCGGGCCUUGUACACACCGCCCGUCACACCAUGGGAGCCGGUUUGGCCCGAAGUCGUUACCCUAACCUGAAAAGGAGGGGGAUGCCGAAGGCCGGGCUGGUGACUGGGGUG